rnacentral:rRNA from 1 species
GUGUGCAACUGCUUANUUGGGGAUAGCUUCCGAAGGAGAUAUACCCCAUAAUAUGUGGAUGGCAUCAUCGACAUUGAAACUCCGUGAUAAAGAUGGGCCGCGCAAGAUAAAUAGUGGUGAGGUACGGCUCACAGUCUACGAUCUUAGGGCCUGAGAGGUGAUCCCCACACUGGUACUGAGACACGGACAGACUCCUACGGGAGGCAGCAGUGAGGAAUAUUGGACAAUGGGUGAGAGCCUGAUCCAGCCAUCCCGCGUGAAGGACGACUGCCCUAUGGGUUGUAAACUUCUUUUGUAUAGGGAUAAACCUACCCUCGUGAGGGUAGCUGAAGGUACUAUAACGAAUAAGCACCGGGCUAACUCCGUGCCAGCAGCCGCGGUAAUACGGAGGGUGCAAGCGUUAUCCCGGAAUUUAUUGGGGGUUUAAAGGGUCCGUAGGCGGAUUCUGAAAGUCCAGGGGUGAAAUCUCACAGGUUUUAAUGGUGGAAAACUGGCCAUUUGAUACUGGCGGUCUUGGAGUGGUUGGUUGAAAGGUAAGCUGGAAUAAAGUAGUGGUAACGGGUGAAAAUGGCCUUAGAUUUUUACUUAGGAACCACCCAA